GUCCGCACGAGCGCACCCUUGUCCUUAGUUGCCAGCACUUUUUGUGGGACUCUUGGGAAACUGCCGGUGACAAACCGGAAGAAGGGGGGGACGAACUCAAGUCCUCCUGGCCCUUACGGGCAGGGCUACCCCCGUGCUACAAUGGGGCAUACAAAAGGUUGCCAACCCGUGAAGUGAAACUAAUCCGAAAAAAUGCAUCCUAAUCCGGAUUGGAAUCUGCAACUCCACUCCCUGAAAUCCGAAUCCCUAGUAAUCCUGAAUCAAAAUGUCACGGUGAAUACGUUCCCGGGCCUU
rnacentral:rRNA from 1 species